rnacentral:rRNA from 1 species
AUGACGGAUGGCGGCCAGAGCAGCCAACUUGCUGCUCUGGAGAAAGUGUUGCUCGAUGAAACCGCGGAUCCAGUCAAUCUACCUUUCUCGCUGCUCAGCUCCAUCACAGGAAAUUUCUCUGAAGCUCAGGAAAUCGGCAGGGGCGGGUACGGAGCCGUUUACAGGGGAGUGCUUCCAAGUGGUCGCACUGUUGCGGUGAAGCAGCUCUUCGAGAGGUACGAGAUCUUGGACAAGAAUUUCGAGAGCGAGGUUACCUGUCUCGCGGUGGUCAAGCACAAGAAUACCGUGCGAUUUCUAGGGUACUGCUCUGAGACGCAGCAAGGACUGAUGCCAUACGACGGGAAGCGUGUCUUGGCAGAUGUGCGGCAUAGGCUGCUCUGCUUCGAGUACAUGCCCAGAGGGUGCCUUGCUGACUAUCUCUCCGUCUUCGCAGAUGCAUCUUGUCGACUUCAGUGGACCACACAUUACCAAAUAAUCAAGGGGAUCUGUGAGGGCGUACAUUAUCUUCACCAACAGCGUAUUAUUCACAUGGACCUAAAACCUCAGAAUGUACUAUUGGAUGAUAACAUGGUGCCCAGAAUUGCGGAUUUCGGUCUAUCACGGCGCUUAAGUGGAAGCCAGAGUCGGGCUAUUACUGAUCACAAGCUUGGGACAAUAUUACACCAAAAUUUUGUGCAGGGGAUAUAUGGCACCAGAAUUCCUAAUUAG